rnacentral:lncRNA from 1 species
UGAUCAAGGCGCUGCUGGAAGUGGUCCAGUCAGGUGGCAAAAACAUUGAACUUGCUGUCAUGAGGCGGGAUCAGCCCCUCAAGAAAGAAAUCCUGUUCAGUUUACUGGUUAAGGAUGCUACUGGCAUGUAUACCACCUAACACAUACAUUCUUAUCAGUGGUCCCAAGACUGACAGGCUCCUCCACCAGCCUGAUGACCAUGUGUCUGCUCUACUAGACUGGAGUGUUCAUCCCAGCAACAUAGCCUGGCGAGAGCCACCCAACUCGACUACUUGUCUGGCCCACCACGUUGUUCUCUGUAAGCACCUGACUCCUAGCCUGCAGGUGCUCCAGGCCUGACGAGUGCCUGUUUCUGACAGGCACGACACAGUGACUGACGGAGGCAGCACUUGAAGAGUUGAAUGUUUAUUUAGUUUGCAUUACCCCAACAGUAGCCCCAAUGCUAUGUUCUACUCUCAGCUAUGAAGUCCUACAAAAAUAAAGCCAGGCUUUUAUGUGACUUCAUCAAUACAGAACUAAAGCUUUGUUGCUAUUUUGAAGGGGUUUUGGUUAUCAAGGUGCUUAUUUUCAACAAAAUGUCCUGUCAGAGGAUGCAUGCUUAUACAGAAAACCUGACACUCUCAUGCAACAAAUUUAUGUCCCCACCCUCCCUCCACCACCUUUAAAAUAAACACUAACUAUUUACAAUUGAGGAAAAAGGCCAGUGACCUUGAAAAGGGAAAAAAAAAAAAAAAAAAAAAAAAGACUGGCUCAUUUCAAAGUGAAUGAGAACACUUAAGUGCAGCCAGAAGCUGACAAGGACAGGAAGGUCGG